rnacentral:piRNA from 1 species
UGGCUUGGGGCCUGGGGAGAGAGGGUGUU